UACGAAGGGGGCUAGCGUUGCUCGGAAUGACUGGGCGUAAAGGGCGCGUAGGCGGCUUGCACCGUCAGAUGUGAAAUUCCUGGGCUUAACCUGGGGGCUGCAUUUGAUACGUGUGGGCUUGAGUGCGGAAGAGGGUCGUGGAAUUCCCAGUGUAGAGGUGAAAUUCGUAGAUAUUGGGAAGAACACCAGUGGCGAAGGCGAAUCCCUGGAAAAUACCUGACACUGAGGCACGAAAGCUAGGGGAGCAAACAGG
rnacentral:rRNA from 1 species